GAUGAAGAACGUAGCGAAAUGCGAUACGUAAUGUGAAUUGCAAAUUCAGUGAAUCAUCGAGUCUUUGAACGCACAUUGCGCCCCCUGGUAUUCCGGGGGGCAUGCCUGUCAGAGCGUCAUUGCUGCCCUCAAGCACGGCUUGUGUGUUGGGCCCCGUCCUCCGAUCCCGGGGGACGGGCCCGAAAGGCAGCGGCGGCACCGCGUCCGGUCCUCGAGCGUAUGGGGCUUUGUCACCCGCUCUGUAGGCCCGGCCGGCGCUUGCCGAUCAACCCAAAUUUUUAUCCAGGUUGACCUCGGAUCAGGUAGGGAUACCCGCUGAACUUAAGCAUAUCAAUAAGCGGAGGA
rnacentral:misc_RNA from 1 species